rnacentral:rRNA from 1 species
GAUGAACGCUGGCGGCGUGCCUAAUACAUGCAAGUCGAGCGAACAGAUGAGGAGCUUGCUCCUCUGACGUUAGCGGCGGACGGGUGAGUAACACGUGGAUAACCUACCUAUAAGACUGGGAUAACUUCGGGAAACCGGAGCUAAUACCGGAUAAUAUAUUGAACCGCAUGGUUCAAUAGUGAAAGACGGUUUUGCUGUCACUUAUAGAUGGAUCCGCGCCGCAUUAGCUAGUUGGUAAGGUAACGGCUUACCAAGGCGACGAUGCGUAGCCGACCUGAGAGGGUGAUCGGCCACACUGGAACUGAGACACGGUCCAGACGCCUACGGGAGGCAGCAGUAGGGAAUCUUCCGGAAUGGGCGAAAGCCUGACGGAGCAAAGCCGAGUGAGUGAUGAAGGUCUUCGGAUCGUAAAACUCUGUUAUUAGGGAAGAACAAAUGUGUAAGUAACUAUGCACGUCUUGACGGUACCUAAUCAGAAAGCCACGGCUAACUACGUG